UACGUAGGGGGCUAGCGUUGUCCGGAAUCAUUGGGCGUAAAGAGCGUGUAGGCGGCCCGGUAAGUCCGCUGUGAAAGUCGGGGGCUCAACCCUCGAAUGCCGGUGGAUACUGUCGGGCUAGAGUGCGGAAGAGGCGAGUGGAAUUCCUGGUGUAGCGGUGAAAUGCGCAGAUAUCAGGAGGAACACCGAUUGCGAAGGCAGCUCGCUGGGACGUAACUGACGCUGAGGAACGAAAGCGUGGGGAGCAAACGGG
rnacentral:rRNA from 1 species